GAAUUGUUCACAAUGGGCGCAAGCCUGAUGACGCAAUGCCGCGUGGAGGAUGAAGGUCUUCGGAUUGUAAACUCCUGUUGCCAGGGACGAAUGGCUCCGACCUAAUACGUCGGAGAAUGACGGUACCUGGUGAGGAAGCCCCGGCUACCUCUGUGCCAGCAGCCGCGGUAAUACGUAGGGGGCAAGCGUUGUCCGGAUUCAUUGGGCGUAAAGAGCGUGUAGGCGGCCAGGUAGGUCGGUUGUGAAAACUGGAGGCUCAACCUUCAGACGUCGAUCGAAACCAUCUGGCUAGAGUCCGGGAGAGGAGAGUGGAAUUCCUGGUGUAGCGGUGAAAUGCGCAGAUAUCAGGAAGAACACCCGUGGCGAAAGCGGCUCUCUGGAACGGUACUGACGCUGAGACGCGAAAGCGUGGGGAGCGAAC
rnacentral:rRNA from 1 species